UACGUAGGGGGCAAGCGUUGUCCGGAAUCAUUGGACGUAAAGCGCGUGUAGGCGGCUCGAUAAGUCUGCUGUGAAAUCCCUCGGCUCACCCGAGGACCUGCAUCCCAAACUGCCGAGCUUGAGUAUGGGAGAGGAUGAGGGAAUUCCUGGUGUAGCGGUGAAAUGCGUAGAUAUCAGGAGGAACACCGGUGGCGAAGGCGCUCAUCUGGCCCAAUACUGACGCUGAGGCGCGAAAGCUAGGGGAGCAAACGGG
rnacentral:rRNA from 1 species